CCAUUUGCAUUCUGUGCAUUGGGCUUUGGUUCUCUCUACUAAAUUCAGGAUUGAUAAUCGUGUUCAAUGAGAACUUGAGCUGAGGAGGCUCUAGACCUGAGAAUAUGACAUAUUCUUCGGAGGAAGUCAGUAUAUUGUUUYGUGCCUGUUGUGAAUGAUGAAGCCAUGGGGACGAGUUCUGAUCCUACAAGCAAGCCUUCCCCUGGUUUUGGACUAAGGACCUGAUUAUAGUUUUUCAUCUGUUAUGUAAACUUCGAUUGAUUUCAGUGAAAGWUAGGACAUGCAAACGUCUUUGUGACCAAUCUUUAAAUUCUGUGGCCAGAAGACACACAGUUAUGUAGG